AUACGGAGGGUGCGAGCGUUAAUCGGAAUUACUGGGCGUAAAGCGCGCGUAGGCGGUUUGGUCAGUCGGAUGUGAAAGCCCCAGGCUCAACCUGGGAAUGGCAUUCGAAACUGCAUGGCUAGAGUCUGAUAGAGGGAAGUGGAAUUUCCGGUGUAGCGGUGAAAUGCGUAGAUAUCGGAAGGAACAUCAGUGGCGAAGGCGACUUCCUGGAUCAAGACUGACGCUAAGGUGCGAAAGCGUGGGGAGCAAACAGGAUUAGAAACCCCGGUAGUCC
rnacentral:rRNA from 1 species